UCUAUCCCAAGCGCUCUACAAACUCGCCAAAUGGCAACUCUCGAUCUCAAAUUGUUUCCCACCAGAACUCUGGGGGUUUGUUUUCCUCCCAGAAGAGCAAUAACGGCAACCGCUCAGCUGACCGUUGAAAUGAACACAACCGAGAAGAAGAUAUUCGAUAGACUCUUGGCAGCACGUUCGCCAUUUUGGCUUUGGGAACCACCUUGGAGUCGCGGGCGGAUGGGUUCGCGAUAAGCUUGUGUUGUGGCACAGCAAAGAGGAUGCAAAGAGAAGGGGAUUUAACCAUUAGCAGGAUUUGGUAUGGCAAGUUAAUGCCCAUGGGUGGACCUACUACAAUAGGAACAAGAUCUGAAUUGCAGGAGAAAGUUUUGCCU